AGUGAGUUUGAUCCUGGCUCAGGGUGAACGCUAAUAACAUGGUUUAACAUAUGCUAGUUAAAGUUUUUAUAACUUAGCGUACAGGUGAGUAAAGACUAAAAAUUUUACCUUAAAUUUUAAAUAAAUCAACAUUAGAGUUUUCUAAUAAAUACUUUGUAUUGAAAAUAUUUAAAUAAAAAGAUAUAACAUUGAUUUAAGAUUGUUUUAGUUUAAUAUUAGGUAGUUGGUUAGGUAAAAGCUACCCAAGCCUAUGAUGUUUAACUGGUUUGAGAAAAUGUACAGUCACACUGGGACUGAGAUAAGGCCCAGGCUUCGUGCCAGCAGUGUGGAAUCUUGGACAAUGAGCGAAAGCUUGAUCCAGUGAUGUUAUGUAAACGAGGCCAACACAAAAGAGGAUUAAAGUGAUUUAUGACUCGGUUGUAAAGUUUUAAAUUUAAAAAAUGAGUUUGACGUUUUUUUUAAAAAAGCCCCGGCUAACUUCGUGCCAGCAGCCGCGGUAAUACGAAGGGGGUAGGCGUUAUCCGGAAUGAUUGGGCGUAAAGGGUUCGUAGGUGGAUUUAGUUAUUUAAAGGAAAAUAUUUUGGGUAACACUAAAUAAUUCUUAUAAUAUACUUCUUCUUGAGUUUUGUAAAGGAUAAUAGAAUUUUAUAAAUAGGAGUAAAAUCCUGAGAUUUAUAAAGGAAUGCCAGUGGCGAAAGCGGUUAUCUAGACUUAUACUGACACUGAGGAACGAAAGCAUAGGGAGCAAACAGGAUUUGAUACCCUGGUAGUCUAUGCUGUCAAAGAUGAGUGUUAAUACAAAAGGAAAUUUUUGUAUACAGCUAACGCGUAAACACUCCGCCUGGGGAGUACGGUUGCAAAACUGGAACCCAAAGGAAUUGACGGGGGUCUACACAAGUGGUGGAGCAUGUGGUUUAAUGCGAUAAUACGCGCGAAACCUUACCAGUUUUUGUAUAUUAAUUUUUUUUGUUGAAAAACAAAAUAUUUAAAAAAUAUAAAUAUAGUUAAUUUUUAAAAGUGUUAAUACAGGUGUUGCAUGGCUGUCGUCAGUUCGUGCCGUGAGGUGUUUGGUUAACUCCUUUAACGAACGUAACUCUUAUUUUAUGUUAGAUAUUUCUUAUUUAGAAGUAAAUAAAAGUCUGCUCAUAAAAAACUGCUUUUAAUAAAAUUGAGGAAGGCGAGAAUCACGUCAAGCCCUUACGGCCCUUAUAAACUGGGCUACACAUGUGCUACAAUAGAAAACUCAAAAAGUUGUACCAUAAAGUAAUUUAAAGUAAAUCUUUAACAUUUUCUGUGUUCGGAAUAGUGGCUGCAACUCGCCAUUAUGAAGGAGGAAUCACGAGUAAUCGUAUAUCAGCAUGCUACGGUGAAUAUGUGCUUAGAUCUUGUACACACCGCCCGUCACGUGCUGGGAGCAAGUUUGGUUUGAAAUAUUUAAUAAUUUAGUAGAUGAUUUAAUAAUUUCUUUAAAAUAGUUUUUAAGUUUUUUAUUAAUAAAAAGAAUAGUAUUAUCAGAUUUGUAACCGGGAUGAAGUCGUAACAAGGUAGUCGUACGGG
rnacentral:rRNA from 1 species